UGUUCCCGUGGCAGUUAAUAUGGCUUGGUCCGCUCAUGCAGCUGGGGACAGCAUCUGCAAUCUGAACCUGGAGAGCCUGUGGGCCCUGUGGCUUGUCAUCAUAAUGGCUAACGUUUAUAGUGUUUAGCCGUGCCAAGCACUGAGAAAUGGAAAUGUACUACCAUGCAGUGGACCAUUUCUUUCUCAGGCUGGUAAAUCCCCAUUGAAAUGCAAACUGAACUGGUAGAAAUCAGAUUCCCAUAUCCUCUCAUAAGCUGUUUGUCAAGCUUACUACCAGAUUUGCAAGCAAGCACUGCAGUUGGCACAGGAAAUGAGAAUGAAAGUGAAUGAGUAGACUCUGGAGUUUCUUCUGCUCCUCAUGGGCAUGUGACCAAAGUUCAGAGGCCCAAGAAUCUGCAUUUCUAAUAAAUUCUCAGGUGAUUCUGUCACUGUUGAUCUACAGACUACACCUCAAGACUUGUUGACUAAGAGGACACGCACUAAGGAAGAGAGCCCAGAUGGGCCUGAUAUGCCUCCUUGUGAUUGAAGAAAACCUAAUAGAAUGGACACAGAAGUAAAGGCCAGCUGGAAACAUUGCAUGAAAUUUACUAACUGGUGGCCCAUACUCCAAAUCACAUCCAUGGAUGUUUUUUCUAGGGUCAUACAAUGUUUUCCAUUAAAAAAAUUAGUUAAUAUUUAAAAGUUAGGGACUUACACAUAUACAUAGACAAAUAUUUCAAUUUUUCAAGAACAAUAGGUUUGCAAAAAGGGGCCCAGUUUUCUACAGGGGAACAUUCAACAUUAACUAACAAGGAGUAGCUGCCCUACUCUCCCAAACGAGCCCAGUCCCCAGCCAACCUUCCAAAUGAAUAUUGUCAUAUGAGUGAGCCCAAUUAAAACUAGCAGAAAAACUACCCAGCAAACCUAUAAAACAGUGAAAAGUAAUAUAUUGUUGUUGGUUUAAGCUGCUAAGUUGUAGGGUGACUUGUUAUGCAGCAAGAGCUGAUAUAAAAUUGGUAGAGUCUCCACUGGCCUGGUUUGUUCAAUUAUGUGACUUCCCUGGCCCCUGUAGGAAGUGAAUUUCCAGCCUGGGCCUUACUUGAAGAACACUCAACAGACUUGAAAGCCUUUUAUAUAUCCAUUAUCCCAACAUUACAUGGUCAACUGGUAUUAAACCUCCAUUUUGUAGAUGAGGAAACAGGACUAGCAAACUAAGAGACAUCCCUAGAGCCAUAUAGUAACAGGGCAGGAUAAGGACCAAUCACUUUUCACUUCUACUUAAGUACUUUUUUCCCCUCUUCCAUCUAGGCAAUCAACUGUUAGUUUCUUCAGGCCAAUUAACCGAACAGCCACUAAAGCCAAAAUCUAAAUUAACGGGACACAAUGUUUUCAAGAAGGGGAACCCUCUAUCUAGUCUUUAUUUAUUGACAAUAUUAUCUGUAAAGUGCCUAAUAUAGUGACUAGUACAUAAAAGAGCCUUAAUGAGAGAUAGUUACUCUUACAUGAUGUGCUCUGUUUCUACAGCAUCCCAUGAUGCCCUUUUCCUUCUUUCCUACUCUCCAUAACCCUGGCUGGAUAAUUCCAUCUAUCCUCUAAGAUCUGGUACAUUUUCUAUAUCUCUAUUACAGCACAUAAACACACUGUGUUAUAUAUCUUUUUACAUGUCUCUCUACUCAGACCUUGGGUGCUUUAGUUUCAAUGGAUUAUGGAUUCUUUUUUUAUUUCCAAUCUCUCUAGCACAGGACCUGGCUGAAUAAAUGCUGAUUGAAAUUGAA